rnacentral:rRNA from 1 species
UACGUAGGUGACAAGCGUUGUCCGGAUUUACUGGGCGUAAAGAGCGCGCAGGCGGUCGAUCAAGUCGAGUGUGAAAGCCCCCGGCUCAACUGGGGAGGGUCAUUCGAUACUGAUCGACUCGAAGGCAGGAGAGGGUAGUGGAAUUCCCGGUGUAGUGGUGAAAUGCGCAGAUAUCAGGAGGAACACCAAUGGCGAAGGCAGCUCGCUGGGACGGUACUGACGCUGAGACGCGAAAGCGUGGGGAGCAAACAGG